AUGGUUGGAUGGCAUCACUGGUUCAAUGGACGUGAACUUGGGCAAACUCCAGGAGAUAGUAAGGGACAGGGAAGCCUGGAGCGCUGCAGCAGACCAUGGGGUCUCAAAGAGUUGGACAUGACUUGGAGAUGGAACAACAAUCUUGUCGCUGUGCCCAGGUGGCCAUUGGAAACACGUGACAAGAAAGAAAGAGACAAAAUACAGGAGACAAAAUCCAGAAGAGCGGAAGGUAGAAAACGCCCACAGAGUUCUAUGGAUUGCAGAGACUUAUACUAUUAUAUAUGCUGGGCCACCAGCUUGGUAAGACCACUGACCAGCCUACACACGAGUUGGAUACCCAACUCCUGCCCUCAGAGAACUUACCUUUUAACAAGGACGACUCGAACUGACCACAGUGAAGUGUGUUAAGCUUUACCGGAGGGGAUACCAGGAAGUAAAUAAGAACAUAGUGGGAUUGUGAGUAGAGCUUUUACCUGGUUCUAUUGGUCACUUAGCAAUGCUCUGGGCGUUAAGAAGUGUACGUAACAUGCAGGAAAUACAGAGCUGCCUCCAGAGACUUCACAGUCUGGCUGAGGAGACCACAUUCACACAAGAAACAGAACUACAGAGGGCCGGAGUGGGAGGUGCCACUUCUCCACGGCGUUUCACAGACUCAGUGUUUGGGAUGCCUAUAGUAGUCAAGUUGCAAUAUCUGGGAUUUGGUUUACCCCUUUGAUUCUAAAAUAUAAAAUGGAACUUGUGGGGCUGUGUAACUAGUUCGGACUUGUAUCAUUUUAGAACUUAACUUUUUUAUAGGUGUGCAGCAUUUCUUAACUACACAUUAGGUUCCUUGAGGGCAGAAAUCAUUAAUUUUACUGCACUGUGUUUCUUGUAAUCUCCAGCCCAUUUCUGUCUACACAGUAGGCACUCACUGAAUAUCCAUGAAGUAAGUACAGGACACGAUAAUUUCUUAUUGUUUUAGUGCAAUUCCAGAGUGUAAGAAAGAUAAGAGGCCACCAUUGCCCAGAGAGUUGGAAGUUCUAGAUCCAUCUCUUGCUGUUCUGAUGAUGUUUGUUUCUACAGAUAUACUGCAUGCAUUCACGACCUUCCUUCACCCCAUCUAGAAUGAGGCCCCGUGACUGUAACUCCUUCUGCUUGUAACAUUUUCCGUAGCAGGGCAAUCUCUUAAGCGUUUGAGGGGAUGGAGAACGACAGCAGACAGAUGGGCCCAUUGACGAUGUGUCCCCUUGUGGUACAUCUGUCACAACUGAAUUAUUCUGUCAUUUGUGCUGUCACCAAGUCAGGCUGAUCCAAGGAGUGGAAGGAAGCGCAUUUCUAGUGACUCUUAAUCACAGAGGGAAAUGGCUCUGUGACACGUGUGUUUUCUGACAGCGACUGGCUUUAUUAUUUUCUAAGGGUAGAGAGAAGUGCAUGAUGUAUCAGCAUAUGAAUAAGUGACCUGCUAUGAUGGUGACAAUGAAACCCCGAGUUGGGUUUCAUUUUGUUUAACUGGUAUCUCUCUCUUAUUUUGGCCCGCCUACAUUUAAGGAGCCGAGUCUCAGGAGUUGUACUGGAUCCCAGGCUUCUCUGGCUAGCUAUGUGACCUUCAUGUUACAGGCACUUUCCUCUAUCUGUACUUAGGAACUUCACCUGCCUACCUCCAUCUAACCCUAAGAGUGGGGCAAUAUACUGCCCGUGACCAAAAUGUAUCCACCCUACAUGGUCAGGUCAUCCUUUGAGGACAGUUUCCCUAGGAUUCCAUGACACUCGUGAGCUCAAGGACCCUCUUGGAGGAAAGAGCUCCCAUAGCUGUACUUCUGUCAUCAGAUUUGCCUGUUAUGUAAGCCUCUGGCACUUGACUGGAAAAUUGCCUUUUGGGAUUCCAACCCCAGAGACUGUGAUGGCCUUGAGAAAUGGGGGAUGGAAUGCAUUAGGGCAGUUUUUAAGUCAAUUCCAGAAAAAGUGAUUUACUAGACAUAUUUAGAACCACAUUUUAUUUUUAAACUGGCGAAAUACAGUUGUUUUCCCAUUGUUCAUUGCACUUCACAUUUUGCUAAAAUUUUUCUAAAUGAUCUGAAUAAUUUCAUUUGACUAAUUUUUAACCCUGAAUAUUCAUUGGAAGGACUGAUGCUGAAACUGAAGCUCCAAUGCUUCACUGGAAAAAACCCUGAUGCUGGGAAAGACUGAAGGAAAUAGGAGAAAGGAAUGGCAGAGGAUGAGUUGGUUAGAUAUCAUCACUGACUCAAUGGACAUGAGUUUGAGCAAACUCGGGGAAAUAAUGAAGGACAAGGAACCCUGGUGUCCUGCAGUUCAUGGGGUCACAAAGAGUCCGACACAACUUAGCGACUGAAGAACAACAAUUUUCAACAAAUAGACUUGCUGUGAGUUGUCAAGGUGAUGUUGCCAGCGCAUGAAAGCUGUUUUGUUCAUUAAUUCAAUAAAUAUUUAAGUACUUACCA
ensembl:lncRNA